CAGCCGCCACGGGAAUACGUAGGGUGCGAGCGUUAAUCGGAAUUACUGGGCGUAAAGCGUGCGCAGGCGGUUCGUUAAGACAGAUGUGAAAUCCCCGGGCUUAACCUGGGAACUGCAUUUGUGACUGGCGGGCUAGAGUAUGGCAGAGGGGGGUAGAAUUCCACGUGUAGCAGUGAAAUGCGUAGAGAUGUGGAGGAAUAUCGAUGGCGAAGGCAGCCCCCUGGGCCAAUACUGACGCUCAUGCACGAAAGCGUGGGGAGCAAACAGGAUUAGAUACCCCUGUAGUCCCUGUCUCUUAUAU
rnacentral:rRNA from 1 species